rnacentral:rRNA from 1 species
GGAACGAACGCUGGCGGCGUGCUUAACACAUGCAAGUCGAGCGGUAAGGCCCUUUCGGGGGUACACGAGCGGCGAACGGGUGAGUAACACGUGGGUGACCUGCCCUCAGCUCUGGGAUAAGCCCGGGAAACUGGGUCUAAUACCGGAUAUGACUUCAUGACGCAUGUUGUGGAGUGGAAAGCCUUGUGCGGCUGAGGAUGGGCCCNCGGCCUAUCAGCUUGUUGGUGGGGUGAUGGCCU